UAGGAGUAGAUAGGAGUGUAUUAACUCUUCAAAGAAGACGAAGAGUCGUUUUGGUCGUUGAAAUCUGCUGUCUAUCAAUGGAAAUUUUAUUUUUAAUAUAAAAAAUGUUGGAUGUUGUGUCACAAUGUAUUAAAAAGCUGCACAAAAUUGGACAUUGGAUUAUUUAAAGAUUGAAAUCGCCGAAGCCGAAGGGACAUUUUAUAGUUUUAUAUACGAGAUUUAAUUAUAUACAGAGUAUAAACAAAGACAGGCGAAAGGCUAUGCGAG